GAUGAACGCUGGCGGCGUGCCUAAUACAUGCAAGUCGAGCGAACGGACGAGAAGCUUGCUUCUCUGAUGUUAGCGGCGGACGGGUGAGUAACACGUGGAUAACCUACCUAUAAGACUGGGAUAACUUCGGGAAACCGGAGCUAAUACCGGAUAAUAUUUUGAACCGCAUGGUUCAAAAGUUAAAGACGGUCUUUCUGUCACUUAUAGAUGGAUCCGCGCUGCAUUAGCUAGUUGGGAAGGUAACGGCUUACCAAGGCAACGAUGCAUAGCCGACCUGAGAGGGUGAUCGGCCACACUGGAACUGAGACACGGUCCAGACUCCUACGGGAGGAAGCAGUAGGGAAUCUUCCGCAAUGGGCGAAAGCCUGACGGAGCAACGCCGCGUGAGUGAUGAAGGUCUUAGGAUCGUAAAACUCUGUUAUUAGGGAAGAACAUAUGUGUAAGUAACUGUGCACAUCUUGACGGUACCUAAUCAGAAAGCCACGGCUAACUACGUG
rnacentral:rRNA from 1 species